AACGUAGGUUCCGAGCGUUAUCCGGAUUUACUGGGCGUAAAGCGCGUUCAGGCGGUUUGGCAAGUCGGGCAUGAAAUCUCUCGGCUCAACCGGGAGAGGUUGUCCGAUACUGCUGGACUUGAGGGCAGUAGAGGGUGGUGGAAUUCCGGGUGUAGUGGUGAAAUGCGUAGAUAUCGUAAGGAAGACCAGUGGCGAAGGCGGGUCUCUGGACAGUUCCUGACGCUGAGGCACGAAG
rnacentral:rRNA from 1 species